rnacentral:rRNA from 1 species
GUGGGGAAUAUUGGACAAUGGGCGCAAGCCUGAUCCAGCCAUGCCGCGUGAGUGAUGAAGGCCUUAGGGUUGUAAAGCUCUUUCAGCUGGGAAGAUAAUGACGGUACCAGCAGAAGAAGCCCCGGCUAACUUCGUGCCAGCAGCCGCGGUAAUACGAAGGGGGCUAGCGUUGUUCGGAAUCACUGGGCGUAAAGCGCACGUAGGCGGAUCAAUAAGUCAGGGGUGAAAUCCCGAGGCUCAACCUCGGAACUGCCUUUGAUACUGUUGACCUUGAGUCCGGGAGAGGUGAGUGGAACUCCGAGUGUAGAGGUGAAAUUCGUAGAUAUUCGGAAGAACACCAGUGGCGAAGGCGGCUCACUGGCCCGGUACUGACGCUGAGGUGCGAAAGCGUGGGGAGCAAACAGGAUUAGAUACCCGAGUAGUCC